rnacentral:rRNA from 1 species
UCCGUAGCCGGCUUGAUAAGUCUUUUGGGAAAUCUGACAGCUUAACUGUCAGGCUUCUAAGGGAUACUGUCAGGCUUGGGACCGGAAGAGGUAAGGGGUACUCCAGGGGUAGGAGUGAAAUCUUGUAAUCCCUGGGGGACCAUCUGUGGCGAAGGCGCCUUACCAGAACGGGUCCGACGGUGAGGGACGAAAGCUAGGGGAGCAAACAGGAUUAGAUACCCUGGUAGUCC